CCAUUCGCCGCCGCCUAUCCCUGCGCUACCUCCAUCCCUUCGCCGCCGCCCUCCCACCAAGCCGCCGCCGAUCCUGGAGCUACCUCCAUUCCUUCUGCGCCGCCGAUCCUGGAGCUACCUCCAUCCCUUCGGCGCCGCCAUCCCAUCAAGCCGCCGCCGAUCCUGGAGCCAUCUACCCCUGGAUCCCUUCGCGGGCGCCGAUCCCGUCGAGGUACCUAGCGGAUCACUUCCCGGGCACCGAUCCCGUCGCUAUGAAGACUGCAACCAUUUGAAGCCGCCGAUCCCCUUGCCAUCGUUGAUCCCUUUGCAACGUUCAGGAGCCGACGCCGAUCCCCUUCAGGAGCCAUCUGAUAUGAACGCACGGGCACGCCGAUCCCAUUCAGGAGCCGACGCAGGAUGAGGCAAGCCCCCGCGCGUCAAUCGCAGAGAGCCUCGCGAUGCAGGUGAGCUCAUUCCCGCGGCCUCUUUCGGUGCCAAUUUGGCGUGGUUUGGACGGUGCUUUCUCCGGACAUCUGCCCGGCAGCGCUAUGCGGGCUCCCCUCCAAGUCCUCGGUGCACGCCCAGGCCAAGAAUCUGUUGUUGGCCCCGCCCUCGGAAAUCCGUUGCUGCUGUUAUCGAUCCCACUCCCAAAUGGAUUCCCGAGUCCCGAAAAAUAGGUGUUUUCUGAUCUAUCUGUGUACUGAUUUGUAUCUUUCUUUCUUCGUCUGCGUGUGAUGGCCAGGUACUGCUGCUGCCAGUCAGGAUGCAAGAAUCUGCUACCAAUACUGCAAAAGGAAGAUUUCUACAAUAACAAGAAGGAAGUAUUGUAUUUUCUCGCCAUUGCCCGUGAGGGCAAAAUUUGGUAACUGGUGCAUUGUUAAUGUUAUCCAUUAUGCCUUUCAUCACCACAACCCCCCUUCCUCCUAUAAAGUGGCAUCCUAUCUUUUCUCAAAUUCCUCUUCUCAACACAAAAAUCGUCGUCUAAAGGUCUUAUUAUUAUCAUGUUAAACGCUCUUUUUUGUUGACAUGUGUUCCUUCCCUUUUAUCUUGCAUAGGGAAAAUAGGGCCAGAGUAAAAUUUGUCAACUGCACUUUGUGAUGUUGGCGCUUGGGGUCAGAUGGUCCAUCGAUUGUAGGUAUAAUUGACUGCAUUAGCUGUUCCCAUGUAGCUGUUUUGUAGUACUAUUGAUUUAACUGCCACUGUUUAUUCCAGAUUUUUAUGCCUUCUGUAGGUGUAAAUGUAAUAGACUGAUAAUUGGCGACAGGAGAUACCUGCAUGUAUGCCACAUUGGGUGACCUUCAGAUAAUGCUCACCUUCAGGGAAAGCUUAUCAUAGGUAUUUUCUCUGGCCAGAUUGUUUGCUGAAUGUGUGGAACUGUAUAAUACGAAGUCAUCUCCGUUCACAAUCCUUGGUAGGUUGCAGAACUGCUUGUCUUCCUUGGUUAUGAAUCCAACUAAAUUAAUCCCUGCUAACGUGUGUUUUGUGCUCAACUGCACUGCAAUUUGUCUAUGCUGAACCAACUAAGUGGUUAUCUUCUAGGUGUGAGAUAUUUACAUUUAUUGAUUUUUAAGUCUACAAGGAAUGUCUUAUUUUCCACUUCUUGAUUAGCUGACUAUGCUCUUCUCCACCUUGCUCAUGGGGCACACAUACAUGUAAAUAUGCCUUUUUGGCUUUCCCGUUUCAGAAAUAGUAUCCAUGAAGUUUAUUGAAGAGAGCGACUCAUUUUUUAUACUGGAUGGGAACGCUUCCAUCAUAGGCUCCAUCUCAUCCGAUCUUUGAGCCGGUCUAUUUUCAACAUUUAUACGAAGAAGAUCUAGCACCAAAGGUUCACCAUCGGGAUUAACACUGUUUCAGCGAUGAUAUAUCUCCAGCUGCAUUAUUAACGAGCUUUCCAAUGACACCAUAUUGUUUUAGGUGAACACUUUUGCUGCCACACCCACAUGUUGUUUUACGUGAACACUUUCCAAUGGCUCAUUGUUGCUCAGUUACAAUUGUGUCGCAAUACUAUUUUGUAGGGAUGUACUUCCCCUGGUAUACCAAUGACGGAUCUAUGUGCUCCCAAUUGUAACAUAGAUUGUAUUUUUUUUCAUCCAUGAUUUAACUUUCUUGCAAGCAAAUUCCUACACAACGCAUUAAUUUAUAUCUUGGAGCUUAUCUAUGUGCUCCCUCUGUAAAGAAAUAUAAGAUCUUUUAUAUCAGACCUAAGUUAUCAUGCUCGAGGAAAAAGAGAAUGAAAAUAUGGAAAUUUGUACGUAAUGCACAAUAAGUAUGUCAGAAUGGAAAUUUGUACAUAACCUUUCAUAGGGUCUUCAUUUCAAAAUCUUUGUUCUUUACAGUGUCAUGUGAGAUUACUUAUGUCAUAUCACUCUAUUUACUAAAAAAUUGAUGUGAUCAUUCACAUUUUGCAAUCUUUACAAUUAUAUUCCAAGUAUAGUGUCCAUUGCAAUUUCUCAUCUCAAGAUUGUAUAUGGACUGUGAGAGCAAAAAUUAUUUGGUUUACGUAUUAUCAAAAGUUCCCGCAGCAACGAGUUUAUCGCCGAACCGCCCCCAGUGCCGAGUUUAUCGCCGGCGCACCCCCAGGCCGCUCUUUUUCGACGCCCUGGGGGGCUGAACGGCUGGAGAUGCUCUUAGCGGGCAUGCCCUGGUUGAGGCCCCCAAAAUUCAGAUGACGGCGCUGAGGAGAUCACGUAACCCCAAGGCAGGGCGUAGCGACCGGCGAGGAGCGCCUCAAGGGCGUGGCCCCCGAUUCGUGGAUCGACAGCGUGGAGCCAAUCGUGUGCGGACAGGAUGUGGCGGUGCUGCAGCAAGCGAGGAGCGCCACUACCGUUCGCACAAGAUUCGCCGUCUCGUCUCUGCGAUUUGACCGCCGCCGGCGGUCUGCGCUCCACUGUCCGCAUCCGAACUCGCCAGAGCCGCGGUGCCCCAUGAACCGCCCGCCUCCCCCAUUUCGUUUCCGUUUGAUGGUAGUGACGACGACGACCAAGGUAGGCCCUUUCCUCCUCCCACUCUUUCUCUAUCUCUAUCUUUUUUUUCAAAAAGGGGGGACUCCUCGGCCUCUGCAUCAGAACGAUGCAUACGGCCACAAACUCUAUCUCUAUCUCUAUCUGCCUGCACCCUUCUCCCUACGACAAUAUAUUUGGGGGCGGAGCCUAGGGUAGCAGACGCCGGGGCGUGCAUCAGUUGGGCAAUGCCUUGUGCGUGCAGGACAAAACUGUGAGAGACAUGCUAUGCGAGUCAAUUAGGGAUGCCGAAUUUCCCUAUAAGCUUUGUAGUUUAGAACAUACAUAAAUUGUAUUUCAAGGGGGAUCAACCAGAUAAAUAAGUAAUGAUUGAGGAAGUACACGCUAUGUGAUCAAGUACAUAAAUGCAGUAAUGAUAUAUUGCUAGGAUGAUCAUAGAGGCUUGUACAUGAGGCUUUUGUUGAAUAAUUGUGAAUUGACUUUUUCUUAGGAUCCAAUCUUUGAUCAAACUACACCACCAUUGAAUUUAGGAAGGCCCAUGUACUUUAGUAUCACUUCUUAAAUUAAACUUGACCAUUAAUUUCAUAACAUAGUAAUAGCCUAUAUUUAUAUUUCAAGAGAAGAACUUGGUUCAAGUUAUGCUGGUUAUUUUACUCUGUUUUUGUAGCACGGGAAAAAGUUACCUUUACCCAACUGGUGCAGCGGAAUCUCUAGCAACCAAACUUGAGACAAAGUCUGGCAUAUGCUCCAUCCAAACAAUAGAGGAUUAGAGGGCAUAGCCGCAUGGUAACCAUACUUGCACUUAAGAGUGCGCUGCUGAAGUACAUGCCAUGUGGAUAGAUGCUUCUACAAUGACUGGAGGGUGCAUCAAUGGGGACGUUGCAACCCCCUGAUGGGCAGCAUGCAGGGACGCUGCAACCUGCAGUUCAUGUCCUUCUCACCAGGCCCCACUUCCUCACCUUGAUCUGAAAUCAUGUGAACUGAAGGAAUGCUUGACUGUUUUAUAGUUGGUGAUUGAAGGGUGGGGUGGCUUCCAUAAUUUUCUUGUAGUUAUUUGUGGUAUGACUUUAAAAUUAGGAUUGCCCAGAACUUUAAAUUACUAUACAACUUGACCUUCUUGGCGUUGCUGCUUAUUGAUCACAUCCAUGCUAACUCAGUAACACUCCUCCCCUACCGUGUCUCAAAGCACACAUGAGUGUACUGAUUAAUUAUCUUGACAGGUUGUCACUGAGUCGGCCAUGAUUCCAUAUUUUAAGUAUAGUUGGACAGUUGCAACUAUUUUUCUUCAUCACAUCGGAUACUCGGAAAUGUUUUUGCUUGAAGAGGUAAUGUGCUGACAAAGGCUCUUUGACUUAAUUUAGGCCACAUCAUUGGGCUUUGUAAGUCACAUCCAUGCUUAGUUGCUUACUGUUUAUUUAGUGCUUAGUUAUUUUU
rnacentral:lncRNA from 1 species